rnacentral:rRNA from 1 species
UACAGAGGGUGCUAGCGUUGUUCGGAAUCAUUGGGCGUAAAGGGCGUGUAGGCGGUUUGUUAAGUCAUGUGUGAAAUCCCUCGGCUCAACCGGGGAACGACGCAUGAAACUGGCAAGCUAGAGUACCAAAGAGGGGGGUGGAAUUCCCGGUGUAGCGGUGAAAUGCGUAGAGAUCGGGAGGGUCAUCAGUGGCGAAGGCGGCCAUCUGGGACAACACUGACGCUGAAGCACGAAAGCGUGGGGAGCAAACAGG